GAUUAUGGCUCAGAUUGAACGCUGGCGGCGUGCUAACACAUGCGAAGUCGCGCGUGAAAGGACUUCGGUCCGAGUAAAGCGGCGCACGGGUGAGUAACGCGUGGAUGAUCUACCCAUGAGUUAGGAAUAACGGCUGGAAACGGUCGCUAAUACCAAAUACGCUCCGAUUUCAACUUCGGGGGAAAGGUGGCCUCUGCUUGCAAGCUACUGCUCAUGGAUGAGUCCGCGUCCCAUUAGCUAGUUGGUGGGGUAACGGCCCACCAAGGCGACGAUGGGUAGCCGGUCUAAGAGGAUGACCGGCCACACUGGGACUGGAACACGGCCCAGACUCCUACGGGAGGCAGCAGUGGGGAAUAUUGCGCAAUGGGCGAAAGCCUGACGCAGCGACGCCGCGUGAGGGAUGAAGGUCCUCGGAUCGUAAACCUCUGUCAGGAGGGAAGAACCGCCACGGUGCUAAUCAGCCGUGGUCUGACGGUACCUCCAAAGGAAGCACCGGCUAACUCCGUGCCAGCAGCCGC
rnacentral:rRNA from 1 species